GACGAACGCUGGCGGCGUGCUUAACACAUGCAAGUCGAACGAAGUGGCGAACGGGUGAGUAACGCGUAAUCAACCUGCCCUUCAGAGGGGGACAACAGUUGGAAACGACUGCUAAUACCGCAUACUGAAGGAGGGGAUUGCGUCUGAUUAGCUAGUUGGAGGGGUAACGGCCCACCAAGGCGAUGAUCAGUAGCCGGUGUGAGAGGAUGAACGGCCACAUUGGGACUGAGACACGGCCCAGACUCCUACGGGAGGCAGCAGUGGGGAAUCUUCCGCAAUGGACGAAAGUCUGACGGAGCAACGCCGCGUGAACGAAGAAGGUCUUCGGAUUGUAAAGUUCUGUGAUUCGGGACGCGGUACCGAAAAAGCAAGCCACGGCUAACUACGUGCCAGCAGCCGCGGUAAUAC
rnacentral:rRNA from 1 species